UACGUAGGGUGCAAGCGUUAAUCGGAAUUACUGGGCGUAAAGCGUGCGCAGGCGGUUUUGUAAGUUUGUCGUGAAAUCCCCGGGCUCAACCUGGGAAUGGCGAUGAAGACUGCAAGGCUAGAGUUUGGCAGAGGGGGGUAGAAUUCCACGUGUAGCAGUGAAAUGCGUAGAUAUGUGGAGGAACACCGAUGGCGAAGGCAGCCCCCCUGGGUCAAAACUGACGCUCAUGCACGAAAGCGUGGGGAGCAAACAGG
rnacentral:rRNA from 1 species